rnacentral:rRNA from 1 species
GUGACAUACCUAUAACUGUUGCUUCGGCGGGUAGGGUCUCCGCGACCCUCCCGGCCUCCCGCCUCCGGGCGGGUCGGCGCCCGCCGGAGGAUAACCAAACUCUGAUUUAACGACGUUUCUUCUGAGUGGUACAAGCAAAUAAUCAAAACUUUUAACAACGGAUCUCUUGGUUCUGGCAUCGAUGAAGAACGCAGCGAAAUGCGAUAAGUAAUGUGAAUUGCAGAAUUCAGUGAAUCAUCGAAUCUUUGAACGCACAUUGCGCCCGCCAGCAUUCUGGCGGGCAUGCCUGUUCGAGCGUCAUUUCAACCCUCAAGCUCUGCUUGGUGUUGGGGCCCUACAGCUGAUGUAGGCCCUCAAAGGUAGUGGCGGACCCUCCCGGAGCCUCCUUUGCGUAGUAACUUUACGUCUCGCACUGGGAUCCGGAGGGACUCUUGCCGUAAAACCCCCCAAUUUUCCAAAGGUUGACCUCGGAUCAGGUAGGAAUACCCGCUGAACUUAAGCAUAUCA